CCUCUUCGAUCUGCUGUGGGCAGAUGAAGUGGAUGUGGCUGUCGAUGCCACCCGCGGUGACGAUGUUGCCCUCGCAGCUGAUGACCUCGGUGCCCGGGCCGAUGAUGAUGUCCACGCCGGUCUGCGUAUCGGGAUUGCCGGCCUUGCCGAUGGCCACUAUGCGCCCGCCCUUGAGGCCGAUGUCCGCCUUGACGAUACCGGUGUGGUCGAUGAUGAGCGCAUUGGUCAGCACCGUGUCCACGGCGCCCGCGUCGCGCGUGCGCUGGCUCUGCGCCAUGCCGUCGCGGAUG
rnacentral:sRNA from 1 species